rnacentral:tRNA from 1 species
GGGGAUAUGGCUCAGUUGGUGGAGUGCCUCGCUCCGAGGCACAAGGCCCUGGGCUCAAUCCCCAGUACCACCA